rnacentral:tRNA from 1 species
GCAAUGGUGGCUCGGUGGUAGAAUUCUCGCCUUCCGUGCGAGAGUCCUGGGUUCAAAUCCUGGCUAAAUGUA